rnacentral:rRNA from 1 species
UCACCUGUUUUUCAAAAACAUGUCUUAAAGAAAAUAAUUUUAAGUCUAAUCUGCUCAAUGAUAUUUUAUUUAAUAGCUGCAGUAUAAAUAACUGUACUAAGGUAGCAUAAUAAUUAGUUUUUUAAUUAAAAACUAGAAUGAAAGAUUUAAUGAAAUAUAAACUGUCUCAAAAUUAUUAAAUAAAUUUUUUUUUUAAAUUAAAAAAUUUAAAUAUUUUUAAAAGACGAUAAGACCCUAAAGAAUUUUUAUAUUUUAUUACUUAAAAUUUUUUUAUAAAUAAUUUAAUAUUUUAAUUGGGGAAAUUUUAAAAUUUAAAUAAUUUUUAAUUAUAAAUUUCAUUUAUAUAUGAAUAAAAAAUAUUUUUUAAAAAAUAAAAACAAAUUACCUUAGGGAUAACAGCAUAAUUUUUUUUUAAAGAUCUAAUUUAUAAAAAAGCUUAUGACCUCG